CAUAGCGUAAGCUAGUAAGACCCCUUGAAGACUACAAGGUUGAUAGGUCAGAGGUGUAAGUAUGGCAACAUAUUUAGCUGACUGAUACUAAUAGGUCGAGGGCUUGACCAAUAA
rnacentral:rRNA from 1 species